rnacentral:rRNA from 1 species
UAAUACGUAGGUGGCAAGCGUUGUCCGGAUUUAUUGGGCGUAAAGCGAGCGCAGGCGGUUUUUUAAGUCUGAUGUGAAAGCCUUCGGCUCAACCGAAGAAGUGCAUCGGAAACUGGGAAACUUGAGUGCAGAAGAGGACAGUGGAACUCCAUGUGUAGCGGUGAAAUGCGUAGAUAUAUGGAAGAACACCAGUGGCGAAGGCGGCUGUCUGGUCUGUAACUGACGCUGAGGCUCGAAAGUAUGGGUAGCAAACAGGAUUAGAUACCCUGGUAGUCCAUACCGUAAACGAUGAAUGCUAAGUGUUGGAGGGUUUCCGCCCUUCAGUGCUGCAGCUAACGCAUUAAGCAUUCCGCCUGGGGAGUACGGCCGCAAGGCUGAA